rnacentral:lncRNA from 7 species
GCUCCAGUUCUCUAGUGUGCUCCUGCUCUCCAGGCUCUGACUGUUCCUGCCAUGUCAUUUGAGGAGCUUAAUCUGACAUAGAAAUCAUUCAAAAUGUUUCUUCUUUAGAGCACAAAGUGAUGAAAGAUGAAGUUAUAGAAUCUCCCUGUUUCCUACUCACAUUCAAGUAGGUUUCUCACAUCUAUUCUAUCUGAAUGCUGUAACUACACAAAGAUGGAGCAGAUGGAGCUGCUCUGCUUUUAAUCAGAUAUUCUGAAGUCCUGAGUUUUGUUUUCUAAGCAUCACUUAAUAUACAUAAAAAUAGUUGUUUAAAGCAUCUGGUCUUUUGACUUGUGAUAUCUCUACAUGUCAGAGACAUUAUAAGGUCACUAAUGAAUGAGAGCAGUAUCCUCUUUAAGUUGGAAAGCCUUUAUUGAGAUAUUUCUUUAGCUCUUUUUUUCAUUAUAUUUCACUAAUACCUAUUAUUUCUGUUUAUUUAUAUAGUCUUUUGUAGUUUUCAUGCUAUUACUUGUUUUUGUAUAGAUAUUUUUAAUGGGACAUCCUGAUGAUUAAACUCUUAAUAACAAUGUUAACAAAAAGUUUAUGCAUUCUUCCCUAUUUUGAUUCAAGUUAUGUUUGAUGUAAUAUGUUGUAUACCGUACUACAAGUCCUAAACAAAUCAUUAUGUGAAAGUCACCAGAAUUUAAGAAUAUAUAAUGUAAAUAUAUGUUGACUAAAAUAAUUUGGAG